rnacentral:ribozyme from 1 species
GUCAACAUCGUUUCCGACCAUCGCAAUGCUUUGUUUUAAUUAAACAGUCGGAUUCCCCUUGUCCGCUCCAGUUCUGAGUCGGUUGUUCAUCGCACUAGGGAACGGCCGAAAC